AAGUCGUAACAAGGUUUCCGUAGGUGAACCUGCGGAAGGAUCAUUACUGAGUUCUGAACGGGUUGUAGCUGGCCUAAAAAAAGGCAUGUGCACGCCUGGCUCAUCCACUCUCAACCACUGUGCACUUUAUGUAAGAAAUGAUGGAUGGCUGGCAGUUUGUCAGUUGAAGUCUUUCUUAUGUUUUUAUAAACAACAUCAUAGUAACAGAAUGUACAAUUGCAUAUAAUGCAUUUAUAUACAACUUUCAGCAACGGAUCUCUUGGCUCUC
rnacentral:misc_RNA from 1 species